rnacentral:rRNA from 1 species
UACGAAGGGUGCAAGCGUUACUCGGAAUUACUGGGCGUAAAGCGUGCGUAGGCGGUUCGUUAAGUCCGUUGUGAAAGCCCUGGGCUCAACCUGGGAAUGGCAGUGGAUACUGGCGAGCUAGAGUGUGAUAGAGGAUGGUGGAAUUCCCGGUGUAGCGGUGAAAUGCGUAGAUAUCUGGAGGAACACCGGUGGCGAAGGCGGCAUCCUGGACCGGCAUUGACGCUGAGGAGCGAAAGCCAGGGGAGCAAAGCGGG